rnacentral:rRNA from 1 species
GGUGAUUAGUGGCGAACGGGUGAGUAACACGUGAGUAACCUGCCCUUGACUCUGGGAUAAGCCUGGGAAACUGGGUCUAAUACCGGAUAUGACUCCUCAUCUGCAUGGUGGGGGGUGGAAAGCUUUCUGUGUUCUGGAUGGACUCGCGGCCUAUCAGCUUGUUGGUGAGGUAAUGGCUCACCAAGGCGACGACGGGUAGCCGGCCUGAGAGGGUGACCGGCCACACUGGGACUGAGACACGGCCCAGACUCCUACGGGAGGCAGCAGUGGGGAAUAUUGCACAAUGGGCGAAAGC